rnacentral:rRNA from 1 species
UACGUAGGGUGCAAGCGUUGUCCGGAAUUAUUGGGCGUAAAGAGCUCGUAGGCGGUUCGUCGCGUCGGCUGUGAAAUCCCGAGGCUCAACCUCGGGUCUGCAGUCGAUACGGGCGGACUGGAGUUCGGCAGGGGAGACUGGAAUUCCUGGUGUAGCGGUGAAAUGCGCAGGUAUCAGGAGGAACACCGGUGGCGAAGGCGGGUCUCUGGGCCGAUACUGACGCUGAGGAGCGAAAGCGUGGGGAGCAAACAGG